AACGCUCCUUGCGCCCUUUGGUAUUCCGAAGGGCAUGCCAGUUUGAGUGUCAUUAAAUUCUCAACCCAAAAAGCUUUUACGAGCUCUUUUGUGGCUUGGAUGUGGGGGUUUUUGCUGGCUUCCUUCAGUGGAUGGUCUGCUCCCCUUAAAUGCAUUAGUGGGAUCUCUUGUGGACCGUCACUUGGUGUGAUAAUUAUCUACGCCUCGUCGACUUUGAAGCAAACUUAUGGGAACCUGCUUAUAACCGUCUCGCAAGAGACAACUUUCUGACAUUUUGACCUCAAAUCAGGUAGGACUACCCGCUGAACUUAA
rnacentral:misc_RNA from 1 species